GGGUUGUGAGGUUAAGCGACUAAGCGUACACGGUGGAUGCCCUGGCAGUCAGAGGCGAUGAAGGACGUGCUAAUCUGCGAUAAGCGCCGGUAAGGUGAUAUGAACCGUUAUAACCGGCGAUUUCCGAAUGGGGAAACCCAGUGUGACUCGUCACACUAUCAUUAACUGAAUCCAUAGGUUAAUGAGGCGAACCGGGGGAACUGAAACAUCUAAGUACCCCGAGGAAAAGAAAUCAACCGAGAUUCCCCCAGUAGCGGCGAGCGAACGGGGAGGAGCCCAGAGCCUGAAUCAGCAUGUGUGUUAGUGGAAGCGUCUGGAAAGGCGCGCGAUACAGGGUGACAGCCCCGUACACAAAAGCGCAUGUGCUGUGAGCUCGAUGAGUAGGGCGGGACACGUGGUAUCCUGUCUGAAUAUGGGGGGACCAUCCUCCAAGGCUAAAUACUCCUGACUGACCGAUAGUGAACCAGUACCGUGAGGGAAAGGCGAAAAGAACCCCGGCGAGGGGAGUGAAAAAGAACCUGAAACCGUGUACGUACAAGCAGUGGGAGCCCCACCACUAAGCCAGUGGUGAACUCCACAUACGCAUCCUUUGCUGAGGAUACGGUUAACGGAGCGAAAGCGACGUUCAACCUCAAAAGAAGCAGAGGGGGCUUAGUGGUGGGGUGACUGCGUACCUUUUGUAUAAUGGGUCAGCGACUUAUAUUCUGUAGCAAGGUUAACCGUAUAGGGGAGCCGGAGGGAAACCGAGUCUUAAUUGGGCGUUAAGUUGCAGGGUAUAGACCCGAAACCCGGUGAUCUAGCCAUGGGCAGGUUGAAGGUUGGGUAACACUAACUGGAGGACCGAACCGACUAAUGUUGAAAAAUUAGCGGAUGACCUGUGGCUGGGGGUGAAAGGCCAAUCAAACCGGGAGAUAGCUGGUUCUCCCCGAAAGCUAUUUAGGUAGCGCCUCGUGAAUUCAUCUCCGGGGGUAGAGCACUGUUUCGGCUAGGGGGCCAUCCCGGCUUACCAACCCGAUGCAAACUGCGAAUACCGGAGAAUGUUAUCACGGGAGACACACGGCGGGUGCUAACGUCCGUCGUGAAGAGGGAAACAACCCAGACCGCCAGCUAAGGUCCCAAAGUCAUGGUUAAGUGGGAAACGAUGUGGGAAGGCCCAGACAGCCAGGAUGUUGGCUUAGAAGCAGCCAUCAUUUAAAGAAAGCGUAAUAGCUCACUGGUCGAGUCGGCCUGCGCGGAAGAUGUAACGGGGCUAAACCAUGCACCGAAGCUGCGGCAGCGAACGUAUCACUUAAAGCGAUUCAGCGGGUUACGAUUGACGGAGCGAAGCGACGUCAAAGCGUAUACAAAGUCGAGUCGGUUUAAGGAUACGUUCGUUGGGUAGGGGAGCGUUCUGUAAGCCUGCGAAGGUGGCCUGUGAGGGUUGCUGGAGGUAUCAGAAGUGCGAAUGCUGACAUAAGUAACGAUAAAGCGGGUGAAAAGCCCGCUCGCCGGAAGACCAAGGGUUCCUGUCCAACGUUAAUCGGGGCAGGGUGAGUCGACCCCUAAGGCGAGGCCGAAAGGCGUAGUCGAUGGGAAACGGGUUAAUAUUCCCGUACUUGGUGUUACUGCGAAGGGGGGACGGAGAAGGCUAUGUUGGCCGGGCGACGGUUGUCCCGGUUUAAGCGUGUAGGUGUGUGUUCCAGGUAAAUCCGGUUCACUUUAACACUGAGGCGUGACGACGAGGCACUACGGUGCUGAAGCAACAAAUGCCCUGCUUCCAGGAAAAGCCUCUAAGCAUCAGGUAACAUCAAAUCGUACCCCAAACCGACACAGGUGGUCAGGUAGAGAAUACCAAGGCGCUUGAGAGAACUCGGGUGAAGGAACUAGGCAAAAUGGUGCCGUAACUUCGGGAGAAGGCACGCUGACACGUAGGUGAAGUGAUUUACUCACGGAGCUGAAGUCAGUCGAAGAUACCAGCUGGCUGCAACUGUUUAUUAAAAACACAGCACUGUGCAAACACGAAAGUGGACGUAUACGGUGUGACGCCUGCCCGGUGCCGGAAGGUUAAUUGAUGGGGUCAGCGCAAGCGAAGCUCCUGAUCGAAGCCCCGGUAAACGGCGGCCGUAACUAUAACGGUCCUAAGGUAGCGAAAUUCCUUGUCGGGUAAGUUCCGACCUGCACGAAUGGCGUAAUGAUGGCCAGGCUGUCUCCACCCGAGACUCAGUGAAAUUGAACUCGCUGUGAAGAUGCAGUGUACCCGCGGCAAGACGGAAAGACCCCGUGAACCUUUACUAUAGCUUGACACUGAACAUUGAGCCUUGAUGUGUAGGAUAGGUGGGAGGCUUUGAAGUGUGGACUCCAGUCUGCAUGGAGCCGACCUUGAAAUACCACCCUUUAAUGUUUGAUGUUCUAACGUGGACCCGUAAUCCGGGUUGCGGACAGUGUCUGGUGGGUAGUUUGACUGGGGCGGUCUCCUCCUAAAGAGUAACGGAGGAGCACGAAGGUUGGCUAAUCCUGGUCGGACAUCAGGAGGUUAGUGCAAUGGCAUAAGCCAGCUUGACUGCGAGCGUGACGGCGCGAGCAGGUGCGAAAGCAGGUCAUAGUGAUCCGGUGGUUCUGAAUGGAAGGGCCAUCGCUCAACGGAUAAAAGGUACUCCGGGGAUAACAGGCUGAUACCGCCCAAGAGUUCAUAUCGACGGCGGUGUUUGGCACCUCGAUGUCGGCUCAUCACAUCCUGGGGCUGAAGUAGGUCCCAAGGGUAUGGCUGUUCGCCAUUUAAAGUGGUACGCGAGCUGGGUUUAGAACGUCGUGAGACAGUUCGGUCCCUAUCUGCCGUGGGCGCUGGAGAACUGAGGGGGGCUGCUCCUAGUACGAGAGGACCGGAGUGGACGCAUCACUGGUGUUCGGGUUGUCAUGCCAAUGGCACUGCCCGGUAGCUAAAUGCGGAAGAGAUAAGUGCUGAAAGCAUCUAAGCACGAAACUUGCCCCGAGAUGAGUUCUCCCUGAGACUUAGAGUCUCCUGAAGGAACGUUGAAGACGACGACGUUGAUAGGCCGGGUGUGUAAGCGCAGCGAUGCGUUGAGCUAACCGGUACUAAUGAACCGUGAGGCUUAACCUUACAACGCCGAAG
rnacentral:rRNA from 2 species